UGUUUGGUACCUCCUUGUACCAAUGUUUAUGUGUUUGAGUCGUAAAUAAAUAAUAUCUAACCAUUGGUUACGAUGAUCACGCGGACAAUAACCAGGUGGUUUACACGAAUUAAUAUGGUUCAGUCUAGUUGUCAAUGACUUCAUGGACUGGCUCUAGGUAUGGGUUUGAGUGGUCCUAGCUUUCCCCUAACCUAGCCUGAGAAAUGGCUAUCACAUCCAAGGACGGCAGCAGGGGUGAAAAUUACCCACUCCCGGCACGGGGAUGUAGUGAGGAAAAAUACGGAUAAGGGACUCAAUUGAGGCUCCGUAAUUCGAAUGAGUACAAUUUAAAUCCUUUAACGAGGACCAACUGGAGGGCAAGUCUGGUGCCAGCAGCCGCGGUAACUCCAGCUCCAAAAGCGUAUAUUAAGGUUGCUGCAGUUAAAAAGCUUGUAGUUGGAUCUGGGUCGUGCGGUCGCAUGCCGCUGCUUGUUCACGGUUUUGGUUACAAUCAGGACGUGUUCAGCUCGGUGUAGUGGCUGUGCAGCCUUUCAGCCGUGUCUGUGUUAAACGGGUGCUGGUGGGUUGACGAGUUCGUCUUGUUGACCUGUUGGCAUGCUUCCGGAUGCCUUUAAACGGGUGUCGGGAGCGGAUGGCAUCUUUACUUUGAACAAAUUUGAGUGCUCAAAGCAGGCCUGUGCGCCUGAAAAUUANNNNNNNNNNCAUGGAAUAAUGAAAUAGGACUUCGGUUCUAUUUUGUUGGUUUUCGGAUCCGAAGUAAUGGUUAAGAGGGACAGACGGAGGCAUUUGUACGGCGGUGUUAGAGGUGAAAUUCUGGGAUCGCCGCCAGACAAACUACAGCGAAAGCAUUUGCCAAGAAUGUUUUCAUUGAUCAGGAGCGAAAGUCAGAGUUUCGAAGACGAUCAGAUACCGUCGUAGUUCUGACCAUAAACGAUGCCAACUGACGAUCCGCGUUGGUUUUAUAACUGACAUCGCGGACAGACCCCGGGAAACCUUUAAGUCUUUGGGCUCCGGGGGGAGUAUGGUUGCAAAGCCGAGACUUAAAGGAAAUGACGGAAGGGCACCACCAGGAGUGGAGCCUGCAGUUUAAUUCGACUCAACACGGGAAAACUCACCCGGCCCGGACACUGUGAGGAUUGACGGAUUGAUAUCUCUUUCUUGAUUCGGUGGGCGGUGGUGCAUGGCAGUUCUUAGUUGGUGGAGCGAUUUGUCUGGUUAAUUCCGAUAACGAACGAGACUUUAACCUGCUAAAUAGUAGACUGGUCCUCUGUGCUUGUUUAGGGUACGACUUCUAUUGCUUCUUUAUGGAGUAGUGUGGUCGUGAUCCGGCGGGUGAGGAUCGGGGCUUGCAAUUAUUUCCCGUGAACGAGGAAUUCCUAGUAAGUGCAAGUCAUAAGCUUGCGCUAAUUACGUCGUUGCCCUUUGUACACACCGCCCGUCGCUACUAUCGAUUGAAUGGUUUAGUGAGGUCGUUGUAGUGGCUUUGCAGCUCGACUGAUGCUGAGAUGACCAGAAUACUCUAGAAUCUUCUCAUGCAAAAACUAUAAAUAUACUAACGUUUUCCCUAUUGUGCUUCUUACUUCCACCUAACCUUUUUAUUUGGAAUAUAA
rfam:Schistosoma curassoni strain Dakar, Senegal genome assembly, scaffold: SCTD_scaffold0000070